rnacentral:rRNA from 1 species
CCUACGGGAGGCAGCAGUGAGGAAUAUUGGUCAAUGGACGCGAGCCUGAACCAGCCAAGUAGCGUGAAUGAUGACUGCCCUACGGGUUGUAAGCUUCUUUUAUAAAGGAGUAGAGUGAGGCGCGUGUGCCUUUUUGUAUGUCCUUUAUGAAUAAGGAUCGGCUAACUCCGUUCCAGCAGCCGCGGGAAUACGGCGGAGCCGAGCGUUAUACGGAUUUAUUGGGUUUAAAGGGAGCGUAGAUGGGUUGUUAAGUCAGUUGUGAAAGUUUGCGGCUCAACCGUAAAAUUGCAAUGGAUACUGGCAGUCUUGAGUACAGUUGAGGUAGGCGGAAUUCGUGGUGUAGCGGUGAAAUGCUUAGAUAUCACGAAGAACUCCGAUUGCGAAGGCAGCCUUCCGGCGCCCUACUGACGCUGAGGCACGAAAGUGCGGGGAUCGAACAGGAUUAUAUACCCCAGUAGUC